AUGGUAGACGUAGAUUUAGGAAUUGUAUGGAAAAGGAAAAAACAAAGAAAUGCCAAAAGAAAGUGCAGAAAAGUGAACCAAUCUUAUACCCUACUAUUGAAGAUUUCAUAGAUGCAUCAAAUCCAAUCCAUCAUCAUACAUGUCUCACAAAGGGAUACAAUGGUGGUUGUUUGGAUCCCGUGACUACGUACUUUCAAUCAAGGUUAUCUCAUUCCGUCAUUCAACCACAUCAAUCCGUGCAAGACCAUCUCCAACCCUCGAUUCACUUUCCUAAUAAUUUAAGUUUCACUCAAUUACUUAAGAAUACUACAAAUUAUGUACGUAGCAUUCCAACAUCCUGUGGCAGGUUGUAGUAGUAGUUCAAUAAUUGGAAAAGAAUGACAAUAACCCUCGUGA